rnacentral:rRNA from 1 species
GGCGGCGUGCCUAACACAUGCAAGUCGAGCGCGAAUGGAGCAAUCCUAGUAGAGCGGCGCACGGGUGCGUAACACGUGGAUAAUCUGCCUGGGUGUCUGGGAUAACCAGUCGAAAGACUGGCUAAUACCGGAUAAGACCACGGUCUCUUCGGAGGCUGUGAGAAAAGGUGGCCUCUGUAUACAAGCUAUCACAUCCAGAUGAGUCCGCGGCCCAUCAGCUAGUUGGCGGGGUAAUGGCCCACCAAGGCGACGACGGGUAGCUGGUCUGAGAGGACGAUCAGCCACACUGGAACUGAGACACGGUCCAGACUCCUACGGGAGGCAGCAGUGGGGAAUUUUGCGCAAUGGGCGAAAGCCUGACGCAGCAACGCCGCGUGUGUGAUGAAGGUCUUCGGAUUGUAAAGCACUUUCGACCGGGACGAAAACCCUCAGCCUAACACGCUGGGGCUUGACGGUACCGGGAGAAGAAGCACCGGCUAACUCUGUGCCAGCAGCCGCGGUAA